AUUGAACGCUGGCGGCAUGCCUUACACAUGCAAGUCGAACGGCAGCGCGGACUUCGGUCUGGCGGCGAGUGGCGAACGGGUGAGUAAUGCAUCGGAACGUACCCUGUUGUGGGGGAUAACUAGUCGAAAGAUUAGCUAAUACCGCAUACGACCUGAGGGUGAAAGUGGGGGACCGCAAGGCCUCACGCAGCAGGAGCGGCCGAUGUCUGAUUAGCUAGUUGGUGGGGUAAAGGCCCACCAAGGCGACGAUCAGUAGCUGGUCUGAGAGGACGAUCAGCCACACUGGGACGGAGACACGGCCCAGACUCCUACGGGAGGCAGCAGUGGGGAAUUUUGGACAAUGGGGGCAACCCUGAUCCAGCAAUGCCGCGUGUGUGAAGAAGGCCUUCGGGUUGUAAAGCACUUUUGUCCGGAAAGAAAUCGCGCUGGUUAAUACCUGGCGUGGAUGACGGUACCGGAAGAAUAAGCACCGGCUAACUACGUGCCAGCAGCCGCGGUAA
rnacentral:rRNA from 1 species